ensembl:misc_RNA Metazoa_SRP Metazoan signal recognition particle RNA
GCCGGGCAUGGUGGUGCAUUCCUGUAAUCCCAGCUAUGUGGGAGGCUUAGGCAGGAGGAUCACUUGAGCCCAGGAGGCUGAGGCUGCAGUGAGCCAUGACAGUGCCACUGCACUCCAGCCUGAGCAACACAGCAAGACCCUGUCUUAA